rnacentral:rRNA from 1 species
UACGUAGGGGGCUAGCGUUGUCCGGAAUCAUUGGGCGUAAAGAGCGUGUAGGCGGCCCGGUAAGUCCGCUGUGAAAGUCGGGGGCUCAACCCUCGAAUGCCGGUGGAUACUGCCGGGCUCGAGUCCGGAAGAGGCGAGUGGAAUUCCCGGUGUAGCGGUGAAAUGCGCAGAUAUCGGGAGGAACACCAAUGGCGAAGGCAGCUCGCUGGGACGUGACUGACGCUGAGACGCGAAAGCGUGGGGAGCAAACAGG